UCCCCUUUUUUUAUAGCAUCAUCAACAGAAAUGCUGCACCUUAUCUCUUUCAUCUUUCAGCUUUCUGAAGUUCCGUCUUGAGGGCUUGUAUCUUGCUUCUGUAGUUGAACAGAUAACCAAUCUGUCGUCCUAUAGGAGCUAUAGACUGAUCAAAAACCACCGAGGAAAAAGCAGUGACAAACUGUAGAACUGUCUGUAGAUCCAUUUACGUCCUUUCUCUUUCUUUCACUUUUGGUUACUGGCUUUCUGAUUCAAGCAGAUGAAAAAAAAAAACAGAGAGGAAAAAUGAACUGAAAAGACUGUGUUAUCAGAGACAUAUGACAAACUAGCUAGUAAUGAUGAUAUUUGAACUUUUUAGAAUUCAAUUUGUCGAUUAAAUCUAAGUCUAGACAGAAACUACAGACGGAAAGAUAAAAAAACAAGAACAAGAUACAAAGUAUACAAGAAAAAAUGUCUUUAAUGGCCUAAGACCAAUUUGGAAAAAGAAACUUCCUAGUUUCUGAUUGUUGAAUUCUAUAGCAGUUAAAUUAUUUCUGAUAAAAAUGUCAACCCAUUGUGGUUGGUUCCCUGUCAUGACAAUAAGCAAUUACCUUUUUCGGUCAGUUUAGAACUCACUUGUUUCUUUUUCCUGGAAACUUAACAUAUGUUUUCCUGGAAACUUAAACGCAAAAUAAGUUGUUGACCAUUGUCAGGGUUCAAGAGUAUAUACUCGUUCUGUGAAAUCCAAAGUAAGGAGGUAGCAAAAAAGACAGUUUAAUGCGGAAAAGGUAGAUGAACCAAAGAAAGAUACGAAUCUGUGGUUUUCAUCUACAGUAAAUUGAAUAAAGAAAGAGAAAAUUUUUUAAAAAAGAUCAUUACUGUAAGAAUGCUAUCUCAACUGCUGCCUAAAUGUUAAGCAUAAAUGCUAAAAAAAGGUUAAUUAAUUAUUAUUUGAUUUUUUAUUAAUUCUUUCACUUCUUUCUUUCUUUAACUAAUUUUGGCACUUAAACUUACAUGGUCUUUUUAUAUUGGAAUUACUUCUAUUCGAUCUUAAGAUUUUUCACUUGAGUUUUAUAAAUUUUUCCGUGUAAAUUUAAUACACGUAUAAACUUUUUUCAAAUGAAAUAACCAUUUCGUUACAUUUGAUUCAACUCUAUUAUAUUUUCAUUCUAAUUUAAAUCUUAAUUGUUUAAUAUAUAAAUUUUAAUACUAAUUUCUAUAAUUAAAUAAACUUUAUCUGUAUGUUCAAUCUCAUAAUGAUAAAUUUACAUUCCACUAAUAAAAUCAAAUCAUAAAAACACAUCAACAGAUAAAUAGGAUAUGAAGAUGAUUACUAAUUAUAAUUGUAUUUUAAUUCCAAUUUUAUCUUCCUUCCAUUACAUUCCGACUUAUAUUCCUUAAAAUUUAAGUUUGAAGACACCUUAACCUUUGUUUACUAGAUGAAAUGGCAUGCUCAUUCUUCACAUCCCAUCAACAUAUAUAUAUUUCACCAACUUUCUACGUCUCUCACAGAACAAAUAUCAAACACCUUGUGAGCAUCCCCAAACUUCUCCGUCCACAAAAAGCAAGCAAAUGAAUCAGGUAGUUUCUAGCAGACAAAUUUCAGUCACCAGGCUUUCAAAGCCAGGGAGUAGAACUUCCAUACUCCGCUCAAUUCACCUCAAAUCCAAGCAAAAUUCGUUCCAAAACAUGGUUCCGUUAUAAAAUCUCAAUCCAGCAAAAGCGUCAUUCGAGUUUAAACAGCAGCAAGAGAAAGAACACUCAAUGAAGUUAAACUUAAGCUUGUUUAUACCAGGCUUGCAAGGAGAGAGACUGCUAAAUGAGAUGAAGACAACAAGUCGAACGCGUACGCGGCGGAAUUCUCCAUGCUGAUCCGGGAUUUCAGCUUACCUGCUCUUUCUUUUUCCUUUUUUUUUUCUUCAUCUCCUUUGACUUUUCUGAAUACAGACAAGUAGAAAAAUGAUGAACUUGGAAUUUUCAAUAUUAUAAUUUAAAUUUUUU
rnacentral:lncRNA from 1 species